UCCCACGCAGCGCGCAGACGUGGAGCGCUCGGCGCGCGGCUCCGCAUCGAGGUGCGAGGAGGGCGCCUGUCUGGAGACACACCCACAGAUGAGGAUAAAGACGCCUAAAGCUCGGGGGCGGCUUUUUUCGACUCCACGGCUACCCUGCCCAGCCCUUCUGGGUCUCUUGACUCUGCAAAAGCGAAGGCUGAGUCUGUGGCCUAGGCUGCCUCAGUCCCCAGCCUGCGGUCCUCGGGGAUGACUCAGAGAAUGGCUUUCUACAGGAUGCUGCUGCUGCCACAUCCUCUCUGCGUUCAGGAUGAUCUUCUCUAGGCACGGGUUCUCUUCUCAUCUGAAUCUUCAUUCGUCCUAGGAGAAAAUGCUGACAAACUAAAAUUAGCAGCAACAUGGAACAUCUACUUCACUGCAUGAUCACUACUUGUAAGUUAAGAAGGAAAAUAAGAUUCUGACUAUUCUGAUGAGUAUAUAGCAUUUUAAUUUUGUGUAAAAAAUUUGGGGGGGGGGUCACAUUCUUGGCUUUGCUGAAUAAACAAAGUCGGGAAAAGAGGGGCUGCAUGUCGAAGAAUUCACUAAGGCUUAAUGAACAAGAGCUCUUUGGGGAUGCCUUAAGAGUCUUAGUGUACCAUUUCCUCCCUUGUACCAUUAACUUUUUCAAUCCUUCAGAAAUCAAUAAUCAGGGAACUCUUCCGUAAUUUAAAUCCACGUUUCUUCCAAAGAGGGCUCAGAUUACAGCACCAUGAAAUAAUCUUACAAAGAUAUCACAGAAAUGUAUUUUUCACUAUGUGUUAACAAAACCUUUUUGUUUUUAAAUCUUGAAAGCCUGAGAGAAAUUCUGAAAAAUGAAAAAGCAGAAUAGCCAUAAAUAUUUGAAGACAUUAAAAUCUCACCAAUUAAAUUCCCCAUUACAUUUAAUAACAUAAGCUUUAAAAGAGUCACUUUAUCUAUAGGCCAAUCUACUUUACCAAUGUACUUUUUUUAAUACUUUCUGUAAGCUUUUAUUAUUGCUUAUUACUAUAUUUUAUUGAGGUAUAGUUGAUUUAUAAUAUUAUAUAAAUUUCAGUGAUUCACAAUUUUUAAAGGUUAUACUCCAUUUAUAGUUAUUAUAAAACAUCGGCUCUAUUCCCUGUGCUAUACAAUAUAUCCUUGUAGCUUAUUCAUUUUAUACAUAGUAGUUAGUACUUCUUACUCCCCCUACCCCUAUCUUGUCUUUCCUCACCAAUGUACUUUUAAAUCCACUGUUGACCUUCUGAAAGGCCAUCAGUCAGUAUAGGACUAUAAAAGCUGAUAGAAGAGAUGCAGAUAACGAUCAAAUAUAAUAAAAAUGAAAAUACAAGAUGAUGAUGAAGAAGAAAAAGAACCGGAAACACAAGAGGGUGAUCAGUUACCGCCUGGGACUCUCGUCAGAUGAACAUCUGCAUGAAGUCUCCUUGCCUCCUGCCUUGGUCGAACCCAUUUGUACGUGGUCCCGUCGCCCUGGUGGUCCCAUCCCCAUGGUGCCCCAGGCCUUCUGUGUCCACUCUGCCUCAGUGACAGUGGGCCACCUGCACUCUCACGGUCCUGACUGGAAGCAGAAAAUGCACCAACCAGAUUCGUCUUUCCCUCCCCAGUGAGACCUUGGAACGCUUCACGCUCAGCUGAGGAUCAAAACCCCCAGACCCAAGGGAAAGCCCAAGAUGGAGAUGGUCUUGCCAAAGGCCAAAAGGAGAGGCUCGGGAAGCCAGCCAGCCCGGGAGAGGAGCCAGACGAUGGCCUCAGGCAGCGCAUAAGGCACAGGGCACGUCGGGGAUCUUGGUAGGACCUCCCACCUUGCCCUCCAAUUUGGUUUUAAAUCCCUGACUUCUUUCUCUUCUCCCAGUUUAAAAAGAAAAAAAAGCCAAAAAGGAAAAAUUCAUUGAGAUACUUUCAUUUGUUAAGUCAAAUCUAAACUUAAAGUCAGUAAAUUGUGUGGUUUUCUUCAUCCUUCAUUAAUGAUGAAAACUGUCCAUUCAAAAACUACACUAAGACAAUGUGUUCCUAAAUAGCAAUACAGCUUUAAUUGUAGGGCAUGAAUCACCUUGCAAACAAAUUACAUCACGAUGAUUUAUCAAUAGGUACUGUACUGGUUGUUGUCGGGUGUUUUUUUGGCAAACUUAGAACAAACCAGAGAACAAAAUGUAAGUCUCCAUCAUCAUGUAGAAAAAUAAAACAAACCUAAAGUAUCUACCUUCGUGUCAAGUGAUUCACACUGCAAAAGUAAAACUGAAAUCUACACUUACAGCAGAGUUUUAAAAAUCCUUAGUGUAAGAAACAUAACCAAUUAAUACAGAUCAAUGCUCAUUUAUAUGGAAAAUUUUCCUAUACAGAGGUAGAGUCCAGUGCACAGGGCUAAAACAAUAUUCAUAGUCUAAACAAGACUGAAUCAGGUUUUACGGAACCCACUUUCAGUUAUCAGACUGUAUGUACAUACAUACAAUAAAUAGACUAUACAAUUUUUUAAGUAGUUUAAUAAACUCCAUAAAAUAAUAGCAGAUGCAUUGAAAUAUUUACAUAAUUCAAUUUUCAAAUCUCUCUCAUUCAAAUAAAAGGGAUAAAAAUAAGAUGUCUGCUUUAAAGGCAGCAGAACCUCUUUCCUGAAAUGGAUGUUGGGUAAAAUACGAUACUUUACAUGGGAGGAACUAAUUUGAGAGGUAUUCGUAUUCAGUUAAGAAAAUAUGUUGUCCCUUUUUAAGCUAUAUAGAUUAGGGAAUAUAAAAUGAUACUUUCUAUAUGUUUAGGUCUCUAUUUCAAAUUCUAAAUCCAACUCUUACUUGACGAGAGAAGCUGAUUCUGGAACCCAUACAGAGUGUAUCAACACAAUUAUAAUGGAAAGAUAAUUAACUUUUCAUAUUCUGCUUGUUUGCUUUUGAAAGUUUAAGCCAGAAAGAAUUUGACAGUAUUUCUGGCCCAAACAGUUCCAUUUACACAUGAUACAAAUUUCACAGAACCUGACUAGUAUUGGCUUGGUGUUCUUGGGAUGCUGGGUGUUUCCGAGUCCCUCCCAUUAAGCAAAGCAUGUCUCAUCUGGAGCAGGCAUGUCUGGGGAACAGGUGGAUGAGUUUAGGGCACAGACUAAUAACCUAAGAUUCCAAAGUUUUCCAAGCUCACACAGGAGGAAGGUGAAACACAGAUUUCUGCUGCCAUUUGCCUCAAAGACCUGAUGAAGAAGAAACUUAGAAACCUCUGUCAUUUGUGACCCAAGAAAAUGUGCAAACCCCAAAGCACUGUAUGCUUCACUGACCCAGAUUCUUAAGACUGACGUGGUAUUCUAUCGUUAACCCUUUAAUUUUACUUGCUGUAACAGAUUUUUAUCCAGCCCAUAAGGAAAUGAGGGAUAGUCAGAAACGAAAAGAGGUGGUCAUAAUUAAUGACGCAUAAACCUUCACAGUUUAAUUUUGUAUAACUUCACUAAGCACCCACAAUGAAAAUGCAAGUUGAGUUUUUUAUUCAAUCAUUCUGUGAAAAAUACCUCAGUAAAUAGGAACAUUUUGCCCUUCAAUGAUCUUCCACGGGAAUACCCACCCCCACCCCCGUUUUUUUAAAUUUUAGAUUUUUAAAAAAUUUUAUACAAAUAGACUAACUUUGAUUUAAAGUAAACAUAUAAAAAUUGAGAGGAAUAUUGCUUGCACAAUGGACGUGGAAGUAGAGGAGGGGGUGGGCAGGGGGAGGAAGGGCUCCCACGCGGGCCGCGGGGGUGCAGCCUCCACCAGGACGUCAGGGCAGAGAGAAACCACCGCAGGACCAGAAGGCACAAGCACCCAUGUGAUCUAGAAUGUUCCCGGGGGGAAGAGUCGGGGGAAAGGGCUACGUUUGGUUCAGCACUACAGUCAAGUUGAUUCUGCCACUGUGGAGAAAACCGGCUAAAAUAAAGGUGCACAGAAAAGUGACAAGUGCUCCCCCUGGAGAGGAAGAAAGCUCAGAAGACAGCUCGCAGGAGUUGUGCAGAGAGAAACAGCCAGUACUAUUUAUUUGGAUGUCUGUGCCAUGGUGGGUACAAACUAUAUUCUCUGCUCUGUGGGACCAAAACCAAAACAGAAGAAAACAAACAAAAA